rnacentral:rRNA from 1 species
UACGGAGGAUCCAAGCGUUGUCCGGAUUUAUUGGGUUUAAAGGGUGCGUAGGCGGCCUAUUAAGUCAGGGGUGAAAGACGGUAGCUUAACUAUCGCAGUGCCUUUGAUACUGAUGGGCUUGAAUGUACUUGAGGUAGGCGGAAUGUGACAAGUAGCGGUGAAAUGCAUAGAUAUGUCACAGAACACCAAUUGCGAAGGCAGCUUACUAAAGUAUGAUUGACGCUGAGGCACGAAAGCGUGGGGAUCAAACAGG